rnacentral:rRNA from 1 species
GCUCAGCCUUAAACUUAAGUAAUUCACAAACAAAAUUACUCGCCAGAGGACUACUAGCAAUAGCUUAAAACUCAAAGGACUUGGCGGUGCUUUAUAUCCUUCUAGAGGAGCCUGUUCUAUAAUCGAUAAACCCCGAUAAACCUCACCACCCCUUGCUAAUACAGCUUAUAUACCGCCAUCUUCAGCAAACCCUAAAAGGGAGUAAUAGUAAGCAGAAACAUCUAACAUAAAAACGUUAGGUCAAGGUGUAGCUUAUGAGGUGGGAAGAAAUGGGCUACAUUUUCUAUAUUUAGAACAUAACGAAAGUCUCUAUGAAAUCAGUGACCAAAGGAGGAUUUAGUAGUAAGCCAAGAAUAGAGUGCUUGACUGAAUUAG